rnacentral:lncRNA from 1 species
CCAGCUCCAUCCCCAGCGGGGAGCAGUCGGUUCUCAGCUCCCAUGCCCACGGCUGGCACACCUCGGAUGUACGGCCCUGCACCAGGCAGCGGGCCCAGCGAUCAGAAGCUGGCAGAACUAUGGAAAAAAUCACCCCAAAAGAAGUUAGAGCAGCUCAAGAAGAAGAUCCAGGAGCAGAAGCAGCAAGCGGCAUCCCGGGCGCAGCAGUGCCAGGCUGCAGCGUGUGCUGGGGGGCUGCCACCAAAGAGCCCCCUGAGGAGGAAGGUGUGCACGGUGGUGUCGGCUCCUCCCGCUCCGGUUUGCAGAGACCAAAAGGAGAGAAGUUCAGCGCAGAGAAUUCAAGCACAAAGCCAGAGGCAGCCUUCACCCAAAUCCUCCAAGCUGGAGAGAACAGCGGCAAGUAAAGAUACAAAGCUACCCGGUGCUUCUGCAUGGAGAGAAGGUCAGAAGCUGGCUAGGCAGUUGCUUGGUCCACCCCCUGCAUUUCCAAAGCUGCAGAGCACAGCUGAGGAGCAGACCACUGGAAACACCUUGGAGCCUGAGCGAGGAUUUGUAGCAAUGCCAGCAAUGGAAAACAGCUCUAGAGAAAAUGGAAAUGAACCUGGGGGGAAAAGCCCUGAAUUCACAAGCUGCACAGUUCCCCCCCACAGGCCCGUUGGAGGGAGCAGCAGUGCACCAGCCAAGGAUACAAACCCAGUACUCAGCAACCUGCAUCUGCAAAGCCAGUGGCAGGAGGAACACAGACGUAGCAGGCUCCCAGAAGACACUGUGAGAGCAGAGGCAGAAGUUCUGCAGCAAUAUCCUGGGAUCCGUUCUCCUUCACCUGAAGCUCAGAGCACGACUCCCCCUGCCUUCACUGAGGACAAGAUAAGAGCUUCGUUAAUAAAGGCUGGAGCCAAGCCCGGCAGCUCUAGAAAGUGCAGCACAUCUCCUCAGGGAUGGAAAGGCUCAAACAGCCCUCUGCAGAAAGGGUCUGAGAAGGAAAACCUUAAGCACCCUUCAAAGAGGAGGGUAAAUGUUAGAAAACCUCACCCCUACAGCCCUGAAGUUGUUCGGGAAUAUAUUCAUAGAAAGAAUAAAGAGAGAAAGAAAAAAAAGCUAGAAGAGAAAAAGUCUCUGAUGAAAGCCAUGGAAAUGAGGAAUAAGAGGCUGCAAGAAGUAUACAGGAAACAGAGAGAAGCUGUUGGAAAGAAAACACGUUCAGAGCAGACACACAGCCCGAGCAGGGGAACAGCUGCUGUGACACAAAGCCCUCGGUGUGCGCUUGAACAGGAGCAAACCAGUGGUCCAAUCCUGGAGAGGAGUUUCAUGGCCUGGGUGGAUGAAACACCCCAUACUCUACUAAAUAAAGAUCACAGAGACAGGGAUCAGCUUCUAAGAGGUCAAUCACCUAAAAACAGAGAGACAUUACCUUCUGCAGCAGCACUGGGAUCUGAAUGCUGGUUCCUGAGUCCUCUGAAACGUGAAGAUUUGGGGGACUGCUCUCCCCCAGCUCUCUCUAUACCUCCUCUCAGCUUUUCCCUUCCUCAGAAAGAUGCAAAACUGGACUCCAAGGACUCGGUUUCUGGUCUUUCUCCAUACAGAAAUAAGUGGGAUCGAGUGAAAGCCAUACACAAUCUAUCCAAGGAACUCGCAGAGAAGAUUGAGAUGUCAACCAAGAGACUCAGUGCAACAAGCAGGGCUGGGGACUUUGCUGACAAAACAGCAGCAGAGACAACUUGGGACCUUUUCAACAAGUCUUCUAUCACGGAGCCUGAGACUUCCAAGGAUGAGCAAGACAGGACCAUGACCUUACAAAUGCUUCUGGGAGACCCAGAUCCUGCUGAGUUACGUGUGUCCUCAGACAGGGCAUUUCAUGGGCUGGGCAGGAUCGGCCUUGUGGGCACUGAGGGAGCAACGAGCCAGGCCAGCCAGAAGAAAAUACCCACUGCUUUGUCUGGGGGGAGUGCUGGGGGCAAGGAAUUACCAUGGAACACCCACAGCAUGAAAUCAAGGCAUCUCAGCCCUGGGGAACACAGGAGCAGCACACUGAAAGGUUUCCCUAUGAAUAAAGGCUCCGAGGUGGACAUGAGCCUACUGCAUGAAAAGCCAAUAACCAGCCCAGCCUUUCCAUCUCGUGGAUUCCUCACUAGAAGCCUGCAGAGAGAACCCACAGCUCAGAGGAACCACCGCUGGCCUGAGACGAUCCUGGAAGUUCAGCAUCGGGAGGGAAUUGCCUGCUGGUCUCCUCCAGAGAGCCUGAGGACACCGGACGGCCUCAGAACCCAGCUCUCUGCCACUCCAACGAAUGGAUCAAAGACUCGAGGUGGCUUCAAGCAGGACUUUGAUUCUGCAGGUGCAGCGGAAAGUGAUUUAAUAAAUAGCAUUCUGUAAAAAAAAGAAGACUGAGUGUAUGAACAUUGAAGCUAUCUGGGUAUGCAGUAAAAUGCCAUUCAUCAUAAGGUAAGAGGACAUGAAGUUUAGCCAGAUGGUAUUUUCUUUGAUGCAGGAUGUCACAACACAAGAAAUGCAUCUGGCAAUAGCCACAGUCAGGAAAACUGUGUUCAAGAGGAGGGAAAACAGAUCAGAACAAACUUUUUAUUCACCUUCAGAUCACUACCAUUGGUCAGUCCUUGAGCAGAAUGGCAAUAACAUUGUUCAGUUUGAAGCACAAAUUGAAAAUACUUCCUGACAGCAACAGAUUCCUGUACUUCAGAAUGGCCCAAAUGUUAGCAAUGAAACUACUCAGACAACUCAGCAUCAAUAGAUUUAGGUUGUAAUUUUUUUGUAUAAGGUUACCUUAUUUCUUUGUAUUUAAGGGGACAUCCUCAUCUAGUUGUUGAAAAUGAUGAGCCAUCUGUAUAUCUAUUGAAGAGCUGUUCAGUUGCCUUUUUUUUUUUUUUUUUUUAUUACAUUGCUUAAAACAAGUAAUAAAAGUUCCUUGUAGAAACA